UUCGGGUUGUAAAGUACUUUCAGCAGUGAGGAAGGUGGAUAUGUUAAUAGCAUAUUCAUUUGACGUUAGCUGCAGAAGAAGCACCGGCUAACUCCGUGCCAGCAGCCGCGGUAAUACGGAGGGUGCGAGCGUUAAUCGGAAUUACUGGGCGUAAAGCGCAUGCAGGUGGUUUGUUAAGUCAGAUGUGAAAGGCCCGGGGCUCAACCUCGGAAUUGCAUUUGAAACUGGCAAACUAGAGUACUGUAGAGGGGGUAGAAUUUCAGGUGUAGCGGUGAAAUGCGUAGAGAUCUGAAGGAAUACCGGUGGCGAAGGCGGCCCCCUGGACAGAUACUGACACUCAGAUGCGAAAGCGUGGGGAGCAAACAGGAUUAGAUACCCUGGUAG
rnacentral:rRNA from 1 species